rnacentral:rRNA from 1 species
GAUGAACGCUAGCUACAGGCUUAACACAUGCAAGUCGAGGGACCGGCGCACGGGUGAGUAACACGUAUCCAACCUGCCCUUUACUCGGGGAUAGCCUUUCGAAAGAAAGAUUAAUACCCGAUAUAAAGGAUGGGGAUGCGUUCCAUUAGUUUGUUGGUGAUGUAACGGCACACCAAGCCUUCGAUGGAUAGGCGUUCUGAGAGGAAGGUCCCCCAGAUUGGAACUGAGACCCGGUCCAAACUCCUAGGGUAGGCAGGAGUGAGGAAUAUUAGUCAAUGGGCGCUAUCCUGAACAAGCCAAGGAGCGUGAAGAAGGAAGGCUUAUGGGUCGUAAACUUCGUUUAUAUAAGAAUAGGUAUUAGAUGAAUAAGGAUCGGCUAACUCCGUGCCAGCAGCCGCGGUAAUAC